rnacentral:rRNA from 1 species
UACGUAGGUGACAAGCGUUAUCCGGAAUUAUUGGGCGUAAAGCGCCCGCAGGCGGCUGUUCAAGUCUGACGUGAAAUCGCUCGGCUUAACUGGGCGGGGUCGUUGGAAACUGAAUAGCUUGAGGCAAGGAGAGGGGCGUGGAAUUCCCGGUGUAGUGGUGGAAUGCGUAGAUAUCGGGAGGAACAUCAGUGGCGCAGGCGGCGCCCUGGCCUUAGCCUGACGCUCAGGGGCGAAAGCGUGGGGAGCGAACGGG